GCCUAAAUUAAUGGUAUAGUGGCGUUGGACUCCAGAUCGGUGGUCUGGGUUCAAGCCCUAGCUGAUGCA